rnacentral:rRNA from 1 species
GAUGAACGCUCGCUACAGGCUUAACACAUGCAAGUCGAGGGGAAACGACAUCGAAAGCUUGCUUUUGAUGGGCGUCGACCGGCGUACGGGUGAGUAACGCGUAUCCAGCCUGCCCAUCACUUGGGAAUAACCUUGCGAAAGUAAGACUAAUACCCAAUGACAUCCCACGAAGACAUCUGAAUGGGAUUAAAGAUUUAUCGGUGAUGGAUGGGGAUGCGUCUGAUUAGCUUGUUGGCGGGGUAACGGCCCACCAAGGCAACGAUCAGUAGGGGUUCUGAGAGGAAGGUCCCCCACAUUGGAACUGAGACACGGUCCAAACGCCUACGGGAGGAAGCAGUGAGGAAUAUUGGUCAAUGGGCGAGAGCCUGAACCAGCCAAGUAGCGUGCAGGAUGACGGCCCUAUGGGUUGUAAACUGCUUUUAUAAGGGAAUAAAGUGGGUCUCGUGAGACUUUUUGCAUGUACCUUAUGAAUAAGGACCGGCUAAUUCCGUG